rnacentral:lncRNA from 1 species
GUACCUUCUUAUGUUUCAGAGAAUGAAACGCCACCGGCACCCUUUCGCCGACAGACAUAAGUAUGUUGAUGUGCUGGAUACUUUAUCUCAAACUACUUAUCCUGGUAAUUGCCUCGGCAGGCGGCAGCUCCAAGAGCCCUGUGAAACACAGCCAGGAUGCCUAGAAGUGAAAAGCCAACUGCCUCACCAAGGAAUGUGAGAAUAGAGGUUGACAAUGAUGAAGGCAGUGCUGCUGAAAGUGAAGAAGAGCAAGAAUCUGUUCAGAGAAAGGGAGCGUCAAGUAAAAAAACCAGAGAGAAAUAUGAAGAGGACGAAGAGGGCGAGGAUGAGGAUGAAGAGACUGCCGCAGAUCGUAGGCGAAAAUACAAAAGGCGGAGGAUGAAAGAUGGUGGAUUAGACAUCAGCGAAUCGGAUGGAGAAGGCUGCAAAAGCAGGAAGAACAGAGCCAACCAGAUGACCAAGGAUGGUGAUGAAGAAGAUGGGGAUAAAAAACGAAAGGACAAGAAAAAAGGGAAAAAGAAAAAAAAGAAAGACAAAAAGAAAAAAGGAUCAGGGUAAGGCCUUAUUAUGAUGAUGAUCUCUUGAAUGUAAAGUCAAUGAUGGUUGUGUUAGGCAUACUGCAGCAAUCU